rnacentral:rRNA from 1 species
UACAGAGGGUGCGAGCGUUAAUCGGAAUUACUGGGCGUAAAGCGUGCGUAGACGGUAGCGUAAGUCAGAUGUGAAAGCCCCGGGCUCAACCUGGGAAUUGCAUUUGAGACUGCUCUGCUCGGGUGCGGAAGAGGGAAGCGGAAUUUCCGGUGUAGCGGUGAAAUGCGUAGAUAUCAGGAGGAACACCGGUGGCGAAGGCGGCGAUCUGGCCCAACACUGACACUGAGACCCAAAAGCGUGGGGAUCAAACAGG